UUGGAGGGCAAGUCUGGUGCCAGCAGCCGCGGUAAUUCCAGCUCCAAUAGCGUAUAUUAAAGUUGUUGCAGUUAAAAAGCUCGUAGUUGAAUUUCGGGGUUAGUAGGCUGGUCGUGCCACAGGUAUGCACUGGUCUUACUGAUUCCUCCUUCCUGAUGAACCGUAAUGCCCUUAAUUUGGUGUUGCGGGGAGCCUGGACUGUUACUUUGAAAAAAUUAGAGUGUUUAAAGCAGGCUAACGCUUGAAUACAUUAGCAUGGAAUAACGAAAUAGGACGUUCGAUCCUAUUUUGUUGGUUUCUAGGAUUGACGCAAUGAUUAAUAGGGAUAGUUGGGGGCAUUAGUAUUCAAUUGUCAGAGGUGAAAUUCUUGGAUUUAUUGAAGACUAACUACUGCGAAAGCAUUUGCCAAGGAUGUUUUCAUUAAUCAAGAACGAAAGUUAGGGGAUCGAAGACGAUCAGAUACCGUCGUAGUCUUAACCAUAAACUAUGCCGACUAGGGAUCGGAUGAUGUUAAUUUUAUAAUGACUCAUUCGGCGCCUUACGGGAAAC
rnacentral:rRNA from 1 species